rnacentral:rRNA from 1 species
GGGUAAGUAGGUUGUUCGUGCCACCGGUACGUACUGGUCUCACUGAUUCCUCCUUCCUGAAGAACCGUAAUGCCAUUAAUUUGGUGUUGCGGGGAAACAGGACUGUUACUUUGAAAAAAUUAGAGUGUUUAAAGCAAGCUAACGCUUGAAUACAUUAGCAUGGAAUAAUGAAAUAGGACGAUCGAUCCUAUUUUGUUGGUUUCUAGUAUUGACGUA